UUCCCCACUUUCCAUUAUUUUUGUCCACUAAUGCCUUUUGGCAUAUUCCAAUAUUGUUGUCCAUUUUUAAAAGAAAGGUAUUUUAUUUUGCAUUUUACAAUAUCAUUAUUUUUGGAUGAGUAUGAAUGCAUUUACCAAACCGAAACAAAUUAAACCUUGUGUCUCAAUCAAGUGGGGGUGGCUACAUAAUUUUUUUUUUUUGUGGUCAUUUAGCUCUAUCAAAGUUUGUAUGUUCUGUUAAAUUAAAUAAAUUUAUAUUUUCUUUGAUUGUGGUGAGUAUGCAUCAGAUGUCAGCUCAAGUCUUCCAUGUUAAGUAGUUCUCUCUCAACUUAUUUUCAAUAAAUGCUAUUCCUACCAUUUCAUGAAUAUAUUCAUUUCUAAUCUAUCUUUUUUAGUUUUACCACAAAUCUAUCCAAAGCAUUCUCAUCUCAGUUGCCCAACACUUUCUUCUAUAAAGCAGAAUUGUUGGCCUUCUAUUGAGUAUGAAUGCAUUUAAUAGAGUAAAAUAGAGGGAUGGUUUUGGAAAUUCAGACUAUAUUAGUUGGUUAUGAACACAGUCAAUGCAUGUCCCCUUAAAAAUUGUAUGUAAUCAGUGGCUUAUUAAAUACAGCCACAUCACCCGCAUGUUUUUGUAUGCACAUGUAGAUGCAACUUCUUCUUAAACACACUUUUAUACUAUUCUCGAGAAGUUAACAGAGACUGGUGGAUGACUAUGAAUGUGCAUUGCGACAAUUGGGUCAUUAAUCAUUACAUUGGAUUCCAACCUCAAGUAUGCAGUUGUUCCCUACUGAAACAGCGAAAUGUAGAAUUGCUCUCUUCAUUUUUACAUUUUCAAAACUAGACUUUGCAAAUGUUGUGCCCUCUUUCUAUUGGCUUCUUGUGCAUUGCUGAUGUUGCGACUUUUUGGCAAUUUACUAGUUUUAAGUUUCACUUCACCAGUGUGAAAGAUAUUGUUUAAUUGUCUUGGUUGGGUUAGUCUGUUCUCUAUUGUCAUUGCAUGAUUUGAUAUUUUGUGCGUGUACCACAGAUUUUUACAGACACACCAUCAUGCUUAAAUCUGAGAUGUGGUUAUCUUGUUAGUAAAUAUAUGCACAUGCACUUCUGUUGAUUUGAUAUGGACUUCACUGACAUUUAGAACCUGGAGUAAUUGGAAUUGAUUGAUAUUUACUUCCAUUUUGGUGAAUCCUUUUUAUUUUUAAUCCUCCAGAAUUUAUCAUUUCAUGGUAAUUUGACGACCAAUAUAUUUACAUUGCGCCAUUUAAUUUAUCAUGAUUUUUUUUUUAUUGUUUAAAAGUCUCUGUGGUUGAGGUAUUCACAGGUUUAGUCUUCUACGGUAGGAGAUGAGUAUUUAAAGUGUAUUAUCAUAUGGAAUUUCAGUAGGUUGGUUGUUACAGUACAAUUUUGUUGUUGAUGGAAACUUGAGGGUCCAAUUGUCUUCUAAUUUUGAUUGUGAUAUCAUUAAGCGACUUUUUCUUAUCUUUUAACUGAUUGAUCUUUGAAAUAUAAAGGACGAUGUUAAGUAUAUAUACAUAUAUGUAUUUAUAUAGACAUUGUAACUUACAUUGGCAUCUAAUGUAGGUGCGUUUGAUUGGGUAUUGCGUAGAGGGCUCUCUUUUUCUAGUCUAUGAAUUUAUCGAGAAUGGCAAUUUAAGUGAACAUUUACGUGGAGGGAGGGACCCCCUGCCAUGGUCUACAAGGGUGCAAAUUGCCCUUGAUUCAGCGAGAGGACUUGAAUAUAUUCAUGAGCAUACUGUUCCUAUCUAUAUCCAUCGUGAUAUCAAAUCAGCAAAUAUACUGAUAGACAAAAACUAUCGCGGCAAGGUUGCAGAUUUUGGUUUAACAAAGCUGGCUGAAGUAGGGAGUACUUCGUUGCCCACACGUCUUGUGGGUACAUUUGGAUACAUGCCACCAGAAUUGAUUUAGCAAUGUUUGGUGGUGAAAUAUUGUGCCAGGGGAUCCCCAAAAUUGAGCCCAACAGUGAUCUUCAGCAUGUUGUUGAGAUCAAGACUCCUUAGCAAAUUGAGAGAAUGAGGGAAACUUGCCGAGAAAGAAGGAAUUGACAAUGAUUGGUGGCAAUGAAGAUAAUGAUUCAUAAUUUGUUAUGGUGGCAUUUGAAUUUAAGUCUAUUUUCUUUUUUAUCACCUUUUAGCCAUGUCUUUAUUCAUGUGUACAUUCUCUUUGCUUCUCUUCCUGGAAUACUCUUUGUUGUGUGUUUUUCAGAAUGCUUUCUAAUAGAGAAUCAGCUAGACGCUCUAGAAGAAGAAAACAAGCCCAUUUGACCGAGCUAGAAACACAGGUUUUGUCCUUUAUCUUGUCCCUUGGGACCCAGCCUAUAACACUCUGCACUUUCUCAUCGCAGAAUACAACACAUGUAUUUGCUGCAUCAGAUAGGCCAACUGUCAUGUACAGUAGUAACAAGAAAUUACUCUACUGCAACGUAAAUUUGAAAGAGGUCAGUCAUAUGUGCCCUUUCAACUUUGCUGCUUUUCCGGACAGGUAAAUUUGGCUCUCUCUUAAUUUAAAGUUUUUUCCCCUCAUCAUCGUCAAUUGAAAUAAUGGAACUUGAUUCUUUUGUAUUUUUGCUUAAACAUACUUCUUGAAUUGAAAAGGGUGAAAUCUUUAAUUGUCAUUCUAGUCCAUGCUUCUAAUGGUAAUUCUAUGCUACUUCUUGGUAAUUUUAGCUCAACAGUUUGUUUUGGUCAAAGUCAUCACUCCUACCGUUGAACUCUGUCUCUCCAUUGUUGUGGUUUUCUGUCAUUAAAAGACCUGGACAACACGAUCUUGGGGUUAGUUUCUCAACAACAGCAACAAUUGAGAUGCAUGGAGGAACAUGCCCUUGUUUUGCUGUGCUGAUUUGCCCCUAUUUUGCUGGUGCUUUUUUUUUUUUAUCAGCAAAAGAAAGAAUGCCUUUAUUAAUGAAACCAAACAUACAUGUACAUACGGAGAACAUCAAUAAAGUAGAGGAUAGUGCAAACAACAUCACUGUGUGACUUCACAAUCUCAUCACAAGCCUCAAUAGUUGGUGAGAAACCAACAGAGAAAAGAAAACAAACAACCAGCAAUCCAAAGCAACACAAACCAAUUAACUAGUAUAAUAAAAACACACCAUCAGCUGCAAACACCACCUACUCCCUCAUACACAUAGUACCUCUUAACUUUACCUUUACAUAAACCUGCAAACACCACUACCUAAUUUCAUUGAAAUCUGUUUGGCAACCAUUGAAAAGGCAGUUAUUGCUGCUGGACUUCCACACACUCCACAUCCAGGCAAAAGGAAUAGAAUUCCACAUUCUCAGUUAUUCCAGGGAUUACCCAUUGGAUUUCCCACCAAUUGGAACAUUAACAAAAAUUCUUAGAUCUAAGGUGCUAGAAUUUAAGUGGUCUAAUGUUAGGUGACCUCAGAGCAGUGCUAUAAACAUAAUUUUGUGCAAAAAAUUCAUACAAAUUUACGUGGUUAUUUGUGAUCCUAACAUUUUUAAUCAUGGUAACAUUUGUAAUCCUUUCGUUUUGAGUCAAAACAUAAUGUUCGUUUUGAGCUCUGUUGCUGGUGUUGUUACUUGAGUGUGUAUCUUUCUGUCAGUUUGAGCUCUGUUGCUGGUCCAGUGUAGGAAGAGGAUGGCUGCGAGUCUUGUGGGUUGAUAUGUUGGACUAACUAGUCAAAGUCAAUUUACUUUCUUCGUAGGCUUUGCAUUGCACCAACAUUUUUUUGCCUAUAAAGCAUUUGGCAUCCCCUGUUAAUAGUCAGCAUUAAAACCUUUGUUUGUGAAUCUAGGAGCAAAGAUGGUCUCUAACCAACUAUGGCUUUCUCGCAAUCAACUCGUUCACCUCUUCUUCUUUCUUUACUUGUUUAGGUAGCAUUACUAUAUAGAUAUAGAUUGCUAUUAGUGAAUAAUUUUAAAUCUGAAUAGGCUAAUGAUUGGCAUAUUAAGGAGUGAUCUCUUCGUCUUUCUAUUAUACAUAACACUG